rnacentral:rRNA from 1 species
UACGUAGGGGGCAAGCGUUGUCCGGAAUCAUUGGGCGUAAAGCGCGUGUAGGCGGUUCGGUAAGUCUGCUGUGAAAGUCCAGGGCUCAACCCUGGGAUGCCGGUGGAUACUGUCGGGCUAGAGUACGGAAGAGGCGAGUGGAAUUCCCGGUGUAGCGGUGAAAUGCGCAGAUAUCGGGAGGAACACCGAUGGCGAAGGCAGCCCCCUGGGCUAACACUGACGCUCAUGCACGAAAGCGUGGGGAGCAAACAGG